rnacentral:tRNA from 1 species
GGCUUCGUAGCUCAGUAGGAUAGAGCGGCGGUUUCCUAAACCGCGUCUUGCACGCGUUCGAAUCGCGUCGGGGCCA